UCGCUCCAAGAAUUGAACUCCUUGGCAGUCAGAGGCUCUUUUCUUGGCUUGGCCUGUUAGGUGGGAAAUGGUAGAACAGGAGGCCCACAAGGCAGCAGCCGACUUAGAAAAUCUACUAGAUUUUAACUACUGUCGAUCCUCAUACUUGCUCUUGUCUUGUUAAAAUGUCUUACGAACCAGUGCCUCCUUGAAUUACAGGAGGAGUGCGUCACUUGAGUGGGUUGAGUCACUGACGUGAUCUUCCUGUCUGGGUUGGUGCCCCCCCCCCCCUUGGGUUGUGCCAUGGCGGAGAUCUUUGUGGGCUAUACUCGGCCUUGUCUCAGGAUGAGCACCUGAGCCCUAGGACCAUGCCUCAGGACUACCUGGCAUGAUGACUCCUUGCUGUCCCCAGUCCACCUGGCCGUGCUGCUGCUCCAGUUUCAACUGUUCUGCCUGUGGCUAUGGAACCCUGACCUGUUCACCGGACGUGCUACCUGUCCCAGACCUGCUGUUUUCAACUCUCUAGAGACAGCAGGAGCGGUAGAGAUACUCUUAAUGAUCGGGCUAUGAAAAACCAACUGACAUUUACUCCUGAGGUGCUGACUUGCUGCCCCCUCGACAACUACUGUGACUAUUAUUUGACCAUGGUGGUAAUUUAUGAACAUUUGAACAUCUUGGCCAUGUUCUGUUAUAAUUUCCUCCCGGCACAGCCAGAAGAGGACUGGCCACCCAGUCACCGUGCUUCUACACCUGCAUUGCUUGCUGUUUGGGGUUUUAGGCUGGGUUUCUGUACAGCACUUUGAGAUAUCAGCUAAUGUAAGAAGGGCUAUAUAAAUAAAUUUGAUUUGAACAUGAUGCAGUCCCCACUAUGCUUGAAAAUAAGGAGAGUGGUCCUCAGUAAUGUGUUGUAUUGGAUUUGACCAAACCAUAACACUGUAUAGUUUUGCAGUAUUACUUUAGUGCCUUGUUGCAAACAGGAUGCAUGUUUUGGGGUAUUUUUUGUUUGUUGUACAGGCUUCCUCCUUUUCACUCUAUCAAUUAGCUUAGUAUUGUGGAGUAACUACAAUGCUGUUGAUCCAUCCUCAGUUUUCUCCUAUCACAGCCAUUAAACUUUAACUCUUUUAAAGUCACCAUUGGCCUCGUGGUGAAAUCCCUGAGUGGUUUAGUUAGGAAGGACGCCUGCACCUUUGUAUGGUGACGCCUGUACCUUUGUAUAGUGACUGGUUGUACCGAUACACCCACCAAAGUGUAAUUAAUAACUUCACCAUGCUCAAAGGGAUAUUCAAUAUAUUUUAGUUUUUGUUGUACCCAUCUACCAAUAGGUGCCCUUUGCGAGGCAUUUGAAAAUGUCACUGGUUGAAUCUGUGCUGGAAAUUCACUGCUUGACUGAGGGAUCUUACAGAUGAUUGUAUGUGUGGGGUACAGGGAUGAGGUAGUCAUAAAAAAUUCAUAUUAAAGACUCUUAUUGUACACA